rnacentral:rRNA from 1 species
GACGAACGCUGGCGGCGCGCUUAACACAUGCAAGUCGAGCGAAGCAGCGGACGGGUGAGUAACACGUGAGUAACCUGCCUUUGACAUUGGGAUAGACUAGGGAAACCGGGAUUAAUACCAAAUGUUCUAAGAUGGACUCGCGUCCCAUUAGCUAGUUGGGCGGUAACGGCCCACCAAGGCUCCGAUGGGUAGCCGGCCUGGGAGGUUGAACGGCCACAUUGGAACUGCUAAACUGUCCAAACUCUACGGGAGGCAGCAGUGGGGAAUAUUGCACAAUGGAGGGAGCUCUGAUGCAGCGACGCCGCGUGAACGAAGAAGGCUUUCGAGUCGUAAAGUUCUUUUAUAUGGGAAGCGGUACCAUAAGAAAAGCCCCGGCUAACUACGUGCCAGCCGCCGCGGUAAUUC